AUGAUUGUACGGGGAGAGAACGCAUUGGCGUCGCCGAAGGAGCAAAUGAUUACAUCAUGAAUCUCUCAGGCAAAAAGACUCGUACAGGACG
rnacentral:ncRNA from 1 species